UGAGUAACACGUAUCCAACCUGCCGUCUACUCUUGGACAGCCUUCUGAAAGGAAGAUUAAUAUAAGAUGGCAUCAUGAGUCCGCAUGUUCACAUGAUUAAAGGUAUUCCGGUAGACGAUGGGGAUGCGUUCCAUUAGAUAGUAGGCGGGGUAACGGCCCACCUAGUCUUCGAUGGAUAGGGGUUCUGAGAGGAAGGUCCCCCACAUUGGAACUGAGACACGGUCCAA
rnacentral:rRNA from 1 species